UACAGAGGGUGCGAGCGUUAAUCGGAAUUAUUGGGCGUAAAGAGCUCGUAGGCGGUCUGUCGCGUCUGCUGUGAAAACUCGGGGCUUAACCCCGGGCCUGCAGUGGAUACGGGCGGGCUAGAGUUCGGUAGGGGAGACUGGAAUUCCUGGUGUAGCGGUGAAAUGCGCAGAUAUCAGGAGGAACACCGGUGGCGAAGGCGGGUCUCUGGGCCGAUACUGACGCUGAGGAGCGAAAGCGUGGGGAGCGAACAGG
rnacentral:rRNA from 1 species